AUUGAACGCUGGCGGCAGGCCUAACACAUGCAAGUCGAGCGGCUGAAGGGAGCUUGCUCCUGGAUUCAGCGGCGGACGGGUGAGUAAUGCCUAGGAAUCUGCCUGGUAGUGGGGGAUAACGUCCGGAAACGGGCGCUAAUACCGCAUACGUCCUGAGGGAGAAAGUGGGGGAUCUUCGGACCUCACGCUAUCAGAUGAGCCUAGGUCGGAUUAGCUAGUUGGUGGGGUAAAGGCCUACCAGGGCGACGAUCCGUAACUGGUCUGAGAGGAUGAUCAGUCACACUGGACCUGAGACACGGUCCAGACCCCUAGGGGAGGCAGCAGUGGGGAAUAUGGGACAAUGGGCGAAAGCCUGAUCCAGCCAGGCCGCGUGUGUGAAGAAGGUCUUCGGAUUGUAAAGGACUUUGAGUUGGGAGGAAGCGCAGUAAGUUAAUACCUUGCUGUUUUGACGUACCCAACAGAAUAAGCACCGGCUAAUUUCGG
rnacentral:rRNA from 1 species